rnacentral:rRNA from 1 species
UACGUAGGGGGCAGGCGUUGUCCGGAUUUACUGGGCGUAAAGAGCGUGUAGGCGGCCACGCAGGUCCGUUGUGAAAACUGGAGGCUCAACCUCCAGACGUCGACGGAAACCGUAUGGCUAGAGUCCGGAAGAGGAGAGUGGAAUUCCUGGUGUAGCGGUGAAAUGCGCAGAUAUCAGGAAGAACACCAAUGGCGAAGGCAGCUCUCUGGGACGGUACUGACGCUGAGACGCGAAAGCGUGGGGAGCAAACAGG